rnacentral:rRNA from 1 species
UACGGGGGGGGCAAGCGUUGUUCGGAAUUACUGGGCGUAAAGGGCUCGUAGGUGGCCAACUAAGUCAGACGUGAAAUCCCUCGGCUUAACCGGGGAACUGCGUCUGAUACUGGAUGGCUUGAGUUUGAGAGAGGGAUGCGGAAUUCCAGGUGUAGCGGUGAAAUGCGUAGAUAUCUGGAGGAACACCGGUGGCGAAGGCGGCAUCCUGGACCAACACUGACACUGAGGAGCGAAAGCCAGGGGAGCAAACGGG